ACAUUUUACGAAAACUAUGGACGUGGUGGAUUUUCUACAGUUAAAUAUUUGUUUAAAGCAUCGAACGAAUCCAAAACGUAUUUCGGAUUGUGUGUUUGUCAUACAAAACACCUUAAGAACAGACACUGGACGUGUAUAUCGCUGUAACUUUAUUUUUAUUAGCAUUGGAUUAAAGUUGACAUUCAGUCCUUAUUCACUUAUGAAACUGGAACAACUAUGUGGCAUGGAUAAAACAUCGGAACCGCCUUUUAUAUGCCAACAUCAAUGUGUAUGGGAUACAAACCAAUAACAGUUCAUUCCUAAUCAGCGAGUUGAAGUGACAAAGACAAAAUUAGCAAGGGUUUCGAAGCCAAUAAUAAAACCUUCAAAAUUGGUAGUAGAUGAUCAAACAGCGGGUCCAUCCCAUCAAUACGAUGAUACAUUGACUGAUGUCAAUAACAAUACAACACCAAAGGAAGUUUGCACCAAUAAAAGGACACGUCGAUGCAGAACAGCGAAGUUUGUUGGUCGACAGAUUCAACACAAAUCGAUUGUUGAUAAGGAAACCAAUAAGAGCAAAUGGUAUAUUGGAACAGUGAUAGAAGUAGUAUCAGGAAAAGACGGUGAUCCACAAGCGGUACAUGAAGUCCUGUAAAAAGGAGAACACAGACCAUAUGAGGUGGAUGGGCUUCAACGGGAUUUAGAUGAAGGCUUGUUGAAGCUCGUUGAUAUAUAGACAAGAAAACAUUGGGAAAAAGAUAUAUUUAUUUGUCAUUUGUGGUAUAGGUUCCAGCUGCUGUCAAUGGAUUUAUGAAUACAAUAAUAAAAUAAAGACUAACAACUCCCAAGAAGAAAGUGGUUUAUGAGGUGAAAAAAUGUCAUUAUUGACUACUUCUGAAAGAUUUAUGUACAAAUGAUGCAUGUAUCACUGAAAUAUAUGUUAUUUUAGUUGUACAUAUUGUUUCAAAAUUAACAUAGAAUGCUUAUAUAAUAAGUUUUAAGUUUAAAUUACCCCACCCACUUUUGACCAUUUGGGGAAGUGAUAUGCCCUUAACGUUUAGUGCAGAAGUCGUAAAGUGAUUUCAUUUUAUUUAUGUCCAUGACGUCUUCUCAUGUGUAUGUUGUGAUAUUCUAGUUUUCUUUUAAUAUUUAUACAUUGUCAACGCAUGCGCAAAUGAUGGCAUAAAUAUAAUGCUAUUUUUAUAUAUACAACAUAAUCGUAUAUUUUAUUAACAAGAACACAUGAACCAUUCGCAAAAGCAAGCAGUUAAGCCUAUAUAAGUCUCAUUAUAAAAAUGUAUAGGUAUUGAAAACGAACCCGGUAUGUUCUGUAUCCGUGUCAUUCUUGGAAAUAGCUAUUAUUAUUUCAAGACAUAAUUACAGCUAUAUGUUUUGAUGAGCAGAUUAACAUUGAAGUUCUGUUAUUUGUUUCUGACGAAAUCUUAAGAACGCUCGCAUAAAGGCAAUCUUAUCAUGGACUUCUUGAUGGGUACCAUAACACCAGAUCAUGAGCGUAUUACCGUGCAAAAUAACGUUAACUACCG